rnacentral:tRNA from 1 species
GAGGUUGUGGCUCAGUGGUAGAGCGCUUGCUUAGCAUGCAUGAGGCACUGGGUUCGAUUCUUAGCACCACA